rnacentral:rRNA from 1 species
GUACACUCCUGCGGGAGGCAGCAGUGGGGAAUAUUGGACAAUGGGCGCAAGCCUGAUCCAGCCAUGCCGCGUGAGUGAUGAAGGCCCUAGGGUUGUAAAGCUCUUUCACCGGUGAAGAUAAUGACGGUAACCGGAGAAGAAGCCCCGGCUAACUUCGUGCCAGCAGCCGCGGUAAUACGAAGGGGGCUAGCGUUGUUCGGAUUUACUGGGCGUAAAGCGCACGUAGGCGGACUAUUAAGUCAGGGGUGAAAUCCCGGGGCUCAACCCCGGAACUGCCUUUGAUACUGGUAGUCUUGAGUUCGAGAGAGGUGAGUGGAAUUCCGAGUGUAGAGGUGAAAUUCGUAGAUAUUCGGAGGAACACCAGUGGCGAAGGCGGCUCACUGGCUCGAUACUGACGCUGAGGUGCGAAAGCGUGGGGAGCAAACAGGAGUAGAUACCCCUGUAGUCCCAUGA